CAAAAAGGGCGCCGAUCUCGCAAAUGAUUAAACCUUAACCCUCGGGCCCUUAAGAGUCCCAAACGAGAGUGAGAGGAGAUCUGAGAAAAUGAGAGAUGACAAACACAGAGGUGGUCUGGAAACCCUAACAAUGGCAUUGGCUCUGUGAUAGGAGCCUUCGCUGGAGAUCAGAGACAUGAGCGUGAAGAAAGAGAGAGACGACACGACGGGGCAUGAAGAAAAGCUCCUCCAAUGCGAUUCUUGUUUUGCGAGGUUUAACGCCUCGAUGGCCGCCAUUGAUCCACGAUCGGAUCCGUUCAAGAUCUUACCGUUGAAAUCGCGUAGUAAUUAACUCACCAAGACCAGAGAUCUGAUGGGGCUAGGUAUGGGGGUUUCAGGACCUUUCAAAGUUGAUUUUGAAAUUUAGGGUUUACUUAGGUUUAUGGUUUACGGAGAUCAUUUUUUUGAUUUGAUGGAGCGACAUGCCUGAGGAAUUAAUUUGUAGGUCGGUCUUUAAUUCAAUGCAUUAAUGCGUUCGCUGUUUGCUUCCAUUCCAGGUACACUCCCUGGCAGCUUGCUCAAGAUGCGAUAGGGUGCGAUGUGGAUUAAUAGAGGCACUGACAGCGGGCCUUCCAUAUCUUUAAGGUUUUACCCCUUACUCUUUUAAGCAUGUGGAUGUAUGUUUUUCUUUUGUAAAAUGUCAUCUUUGGUUUUUAAAUGGAAACAAAAUGAGCAAAAUAAGUUUCCAGAGUCAAUUAGCAUACUAUUGUUGAAAACUUGAACGAUAUAUCUGACAAAAACAAAAUUGGCACACAUUAUGGGAGCGCUUUGAAAUAGCAUAUUUUUGUUGAAUGAUGUAUUCUGAUAUGAGGGAGUGGGGGACGGUAUCUUACAUAUGGAAUCGGGAACAUUGUGACAUUACAUCAGUGAUACACGGUGGCGUGGCGAAUUUAAAAGUAAUCAUUUGUAGCAAUAUUGGAUGGUCUAAUAACCAUGCAUAACUAGACUGUUCGACAACUUGAUGUUCCGACAAAAAGAGAACAUCAGAUGAUAGGGGUUUCUCUAACUUUCAAUGUAACAUGAGGUGAAAGACAUUAGAACGGGAAAAGGGUUAGUGUAUUAUUCAAAUAUUGUCGCACACAAUGUUCUACGCAAUGUCAGUAAUCUGAGUGUUUUAAUUAGACUCUCCUUCUCAACUUUUCAAGUUAGGACGAGAAUGCAAGGAGUCUCAGAAGUUCUCAGUAUUUUCUUUUGCAUCUAUGCACCCAAGCAAUGUUUAUAGGUUGGAAAUAAAAUUUGAAGCAGUAAAUUUCAUAGAACUAAAAUUUAUCUGUCCACAAUGUCAAAUAUAUACGGAGGAUAGAUUGGCAGUUAUAAAUUUAGAAGUCUAUUCAGUCUCUCUCUCUCUGGUGUUCUGUUAUAUUUCCUAGUUGUAGUUGUUACUCAUCAAUCUUAAUUUGAUAUAAUUUUUCAUCGUAACUGUUUAUCAUUCUUUUUUUUGUUAUCCAUUGAACCUUUGGAUUGUGUAAAAGCUUGAAGAUAUAUAACAUAUGUAAUUUCUGUUUUAAUUUUAUUUCCGUGUAUUUGGCAGGUAUUAUUUUUGGUAGUAAAAUGUUGUUUAAAAUGAAGUUAUGAAUAUACAAAUGUAGUAAUAGAGUAUUUUAAAAUGUUUCUUCAGGAUGUUGUGUUCUGGUUUGCUAUCUUUAAUAUUCAGUGGUUAUCCUACAUCAAAUGUUCUUCCUAUUUGUUGCAGCAUCUUGCAUUUUAAAUAAAAGAACCUGUUGUUCUAUGUUCUUUUUUCUUAUUGACAUAACUGUUCUUCCUAUAAUUCCCACUUCUUGCAUUUUAACUUUAAUGCCCCUUUUUUUUAUUCUAUGGUUUUUUUAAUAUCCUUUUAUAUUACUAGCUUUGGAGUUAAUCCACAUUUUAAAAACUCUAUUCGUUCCCGAAAUGCCAGCGCUGAAGUCUGUUACUGUUAGCUUUUUAUUUUGUAGGUAAUUUUUGAGGAUUGAUGUUUCUUCUAGAGACAUGCAAUGAUGAUUUUUGUUAGUUUGUUCGUUAGUGUGACGCUUUCUUAUGUUUGUUUGUUGUUUCAUACACUAGCACAUUCAGUGGUUCUGCUUUGGUUCAACUUAUUAUUUUGCACCCUGACCAUCUGGUUUAUUUCAGUCUUAUUCCAAUUGUUAUUGUUUCUGAUGGUUCUAAUUGUUUAAUUUGUCUCAACGUUUGAGUCCUGGUAAUAUUUUAUUAAUUGUUUAACUUUUUUUUUUCCCAGGAUAUCUAAAACCAGAGGCUACCAAGAUUUUGCCUCAAAUUUCCUUUUUGUUUUAUUUUUUGACUAAUUUUAUAUAAUUUCAAUCAAAAGAAGUCUGUAUAGUAUCAGUUCUUUUAUUGGAGUGCUGCGGAUUGUAGUAAUUAUUUGUGUGCAUGGUUUUCUUUUUCUUUUGUGAGAAUCUUGGAAUAUACAUUAGGGCCAAAUAUUUGUUGGGCUUAUCGAUACUUCCGACCCGCAAUACUAAAUUGGGCG
rnacentral:lncRNA from 1 species